rnacentral:rRNA from 1 species
GAUGAACGCUGGCGGCGUGCCUAAUACAUGCAAGUAGAACGCUGAAGCUUGGUGCUUGCACCGAGCGGAAGAGUUGCGAACGGGUGAGUAACGCGUAGGUAACCUGCCUCUUAGCGGGGGAUAACUAUUGGAAACGAUAGCUAAUACCGCAUAAAAGUCGGCAUUGCAUGAUGUUGACUUGAAAGGUGCAACUGCAUCACUAAGAGAUGGACCUGCGUUGUAUUAGCUAGUUGGUGAGGUAACGGCUCACCAAGGCGACGAUACAUAGCCGACCUGAGAGGGUGAUCGGCCACACUGGGACUGAGACACGGCCCAGACUCCUACGGGAGGCAGCAGUAGGGAAUCUUCGGCAAUGGACGGAAGUCUGACCGAGCAACGCCGCGUGAGUGAAGAAGGUUUUCGGAUCGUAAAGCUCUGUUGUAAGAGAAGAACGAGUGUGAGAGUGGAAAGUUCACACUGUGACGGUAACUUACCAGAAAGGGACGGCUAACUACGUGCCAGCAGCCGCGGUAAUACGUAGGUCCCGAGCGUUAUCCGGAUUUAUUGGGCGUAAAGCGAGCGCAGGCGGUUAGAUAAGUCUGAAGUUAAAGGCUGUGGCUUAACCAUAGUACGCUUUGGAAACUGUUUAACUUGAGUGCAGAAGGGGAGAGUGGAAUUCCAUGUGUAGCGGUGAAAUGCGUAGAUAUAUGGAGGAACACCGGUGGCGAAAGCGGCUCUCUGGUCUGUAACUGACGCUGAGGCUCGAAAGCGUGGGGAGCAAACA